GCUCGAGUGGCGAACGGGUGAGUAACACGUGAGUAACCUGCCCUUGACUUUGGGAUAACUUCAGGAAACUGGGGCUAAUACCGGAUAGGAGCUCCUGCUGCAUGGUGGGGGUUGGAAAGUUUCGGCGGUUGGGGAUGGAUUCGCGGCUUAUCAGCUUGUUGGUGGGGUAGUGGCUUACCAAGGCUUUGACGGGUAGCCGGCCUGAGAGGGUGACCGGCCACAUUGGGACUGAGAUACGGCCCAG
rnacentral:rRNA from 1 species